ACGGGUGAGUAAUGUCUGGGAAACUGCCCGAUGGAGGGGGAUAACUACUGGAAACGGUAGCUAAUACCGCAUAACGUCGCAAGACCAAAGAGGGGGACCUUCGGGCCUCUUGCCAUCGGAUGUGCCCAGAUGGGAUUAGCUUGUAGGUGAGGUAACGGCUCACCUAGGCGACGAUCCCUAGCUGGUCUGAGAGGAUGACCAGCCACACUGGAACUGAGACACGGUCCAGACUCCUACGGGAGGCAGCAGUGGGGAAUAUUGCACAAUGGGCGCAAGCCUGAUGCAGCCAUGCCGCGUGUAUGAAGAAGGCCUUCGGGUUGUAAAGUACUUUCAGCGGGGAGGAAGGGAGUGAGGUUAAUAACCUCAUUCAUUGACGUUACCCGCAGAAGAAGCACCGGCUAACUCCGUGCCAGCAGCCGCGGUAAUACGGAGGGUGCGAGCGUUAAUCGGAAUUACUGGGCGUAAAGCGCACGCAGGCGGUCUGUCAAGUCGGAUGUGAAAUCCCCGGGCUCAACCUGGGAACUGCAUUCGAAACUGGCAGGCUGGAGUCUUGUAGAGGGGGGUAGAAUUCCAGGUGUAGCGGUGAAAUGCGUAGAGAUCUGGAGGAAUACCGGUGGCGAAGGCGGCCCCCUGGACAAAGACUGACGCUCAGGUGCGAAAGCGUGGGGAGCAAACAGGAUUAGAUACCCUGGUAGUCCACGCUGUAAACGAUGUCGACUUGGAGGUUGUUCCCUUGAGGAGUGGCUUCCGGAGCUAACG
rnacentral:rRNA from 1 species